rnacentral:rRNA from 1 species
CGGAGGGGGCGAGCGUUAUUCGGAAUCAUUGGGCGUAAAGGGCGCGUAGGCGGCCCGAUAAGUCAAAGGUGAAAUCCCUCGGCUCAACUGAGGAACUGCCUUUGAAACUGUCGGGCUUGAGGCCGGGAGGGGGUAGCGGAAUUCCCAGUGUAGCGGUGAAAUGCGUAGAUAUUGGGAGGAACACCAGUGGCGAAGGCGGCUACCUGGACCGGAACUGACGCUGAUGCGCGAAAGCGUGGGGAGCAAACAGGAUUAGAUACCCUGGUAGUCCACGCUGUAAACGAUGGGUGCUCGGUGUCGCGGGUAUCGACCCCUGCGGUGCCUUAGCUAACGCGUUAAGCACCCCGCCUGGGGAGUACGGUCGCAAGGCUG